rnacentral:tRNA from 1 species
GGCGCGUUCGUCUAGCGGUCUAGGACGCCGCCCUCUCACGGCGGUAACACGGGUUCGAGUCCCGUACGCGCUACCA